rnacentral:snRNA from 1 species
GUGCUCGCUUCAGCAGCACAUAUACUAAAAUUGGAAUGAUACAGAGAAUGGCCCCUUGCACAUGGCCCCUGCGCAAGGAUGACACGAAAAUUCGUGAAGAGUUCCAUAUUUAA